AAAACGGGCCCAGCCCAGAAACAAAAUACAAUAAAAGCCCAACAAAGCUACAGGGCAAAACUCGUUACACAAUUGGGCCCAAUCCAGCGGCCCACCUUGAGAAACCCUAGAAACCAACACGGUUUCGAAGCGCGGCCGCCUCGCAGAUCACUCUUUUCAACGCUUGGACACGUGUCAACAUCCUCGGCGUCGAGGGUCACGUGUCGCGAGAUCGACGCAUCGCACCUGCAACUCAUCCUCGCCGGAGAUCCAUCAGCCGGAUCACCAGCCACGCCGGAACUCCAAAGUUCCGAACCUCUUCACCGUCAAGAGCUUUUAGGACUCAAAUAUCGGAGAGAAUCGAUCGCCGUGGCGAGAUCUCAUCCACCCCCGUUCACCGCAACCGCCCAAAACCUCGCAUGCAACUUCACCCUUUCCGUCGGAGAUCUUUCUCUCCUCCGACGCGACCAGAAACCACUCCAAACCAACGACUAAACACCGAAAUAAACCCUAAAGGACUAGGGGACUGAAGCCGGCGACGUAAAGCUGUGACAGCCUUUACCCCCCGGGAGCUAGAUCCGACGACGGCAGAACUAAGGGAGCUUCCCCACCGCGGAGACAAAAACCGGCGUCGACGGAGCUGUGAGAGCCUCCGCCUCCCGGAACUAAAACUCGCACUAAUGACACCCCCCCCCUCCUACCCGCAAGCCCCGCCGUAACUCCCGUACCAGAACCACACCGGUUGGUGACUGAUCUGAGCUCCGACCGACGGACACUGAAAAAGAGAAGGAGGGACAGACCCGGAUGAUUUUAUCGGAAGGAAAAGGGGCUCCGGCGACGGCACGGACGCUCACGCGCCGGCCGACCGCCGGAUCCCCUUAGAAAAACUUUUCUCUCUCUAACUUCUC
rnacentral:lncRNA from 1 species